rnacentral:rRNA from 1 species
ACGAACGUUGGCGGCGUGCUUAAUACAUGCAAGUCAACUGAAGCAGUGGUAGCAAUAUCGCUGUGGAGGUGGCGCACGGGUGAGUAACACGUAGGUAAUCUGCCUUCAGGUCUGGCAUAACUCCGGGAAACCGGGGCUAAUAGCAGAUGAUGCAGCGGCUCGACAUCGAGACAGUUGUUAAAGCUAUGGCGCCUGAAGAUGAGCCUGCGUCUGAUUAGCUAGUUGGCGGGGUAACGGCCCACCAAGGCAACGAUCAGUAGCUGGUCUGAGAGGAUGAUCAGCCACACUGGAACUGAGACACGGUCCAGACUCCUACGGGAGGCAGCAGUAAGGAAUAUUGCUCAAUGGGAGAAAUCCUGAAGCAGCAACGCCGCGUGAGGGACGAAGGGCUUUUGCUUGUAAACCUCUGUAGUGAGAGAAAAAAAUCCCAAUCUUUGGGACAUGAUGGUAUCUCAAAAGUAAGCCCGGGCUAACUACGUG